GUGGAGCCAUGUAUCUCUCCCCUGGGCUGUGGGGCUCAGCUGCUUUUCAGAGGUAAGAGAGGAGAAUAAUUGAGACACAAAGGACAGUAAUCCAGCUGAGCAGCCCAUCUGUUCCUGGGAGCACAGGAAGGAAAGAAGAUGGAGAGGACAUAAUAUUGCUGAAGAGAUGCAAAGAGAAGUUUUAAUUAUAUUAAGAGAAGGCAGGUGAAUGAGAGACCUUGACUUCAGUGGGACCUAGACCUGGCCUUCAAAAAUGUGGGGUGGAGGGAGGGGAGGAAGUUCCGACACUGAGUUCUACAGAGCAUUUUGAUCACAGAGCAUCUUGUUAGCCAAGCCACAGUUUUGUUUUGUUCUGUUUUUUACUGUUACAGGCUUGUCUUACCUAAAACUGUGUAGAGAAUGCUGUAGCAGCUUAGAAGAGGGGGUCUGUCAAAUACUGUAGUUGUUUACAUUCUGUCAUUACAAUUAACUGAAAAAUGAUUGUGCUUGCUGUAGGUAACUAGUUUCCCUGUGAUGUCUGAACUUCCAUUAUGGCAGUUGUUGUAUCAUGUAAUACGAAGAGUUCUUUGUCUCUUUGUCAUUCUGACAGCUUUACCUCCUGCCUCCAUUUUAUUUCAUGAUGCACUAUGGGAUUUUACCGUUCUUGAGCAGCCGUCUUUUUAGGGAGUAUGCGAACGCCACAUGUAAAGAUGAAUUCAGAUUGGUACCUGUGUGUUUUCAUAUUUGUCAUACUCGCCUAUCAGAUUUAUAAUUGCACAUGUACUUGAUUGAAAGCCUGUCUAAAUAUCUUAACAGCUACGCUGUCUCAAGUUGGUUUAACAAAGUCUUUGGUUCUUUCAUUCCCACUUUAACGUUAACAGAACUGAAAACUUUUAGAAUGGGAUUCAUCUCACCUAUUAUACAGAUCAAGAAUUUAAGUGCCUAGACUAAGCUACUUUCCUGGCUCUCAUUGUGGGUAUGCAAAAACACUGCUAGAUUUGUCCCACUUAUCUCAGAAACCUUGACCUACUGACUCCUCUCCAGUGCUCGUCGGGAGGGAACGAUGACCCUUACGUUAAACACCUCAAUGUUACAUUUAAACAUAAACAUCUAGCUCCUGUUCUUUCACCUCACCAGUUAAAAUAACAUUUUCUGAAGAUGUAGAGUCCUUCAUAUUCAA